UACGAAGGGGGCUAGCGUUGCUCGGAAUCACUGGGCGUAAAGCGCACGUAGGCGGCUUUUUAAGUCAGGGGUGAAAUCCUGGAGCUCAACUCCAGAACUGCCUUUGAUACUGGCGAUCUUGAGUCCGGGAGAGGUGAGUGGAACUGCGAGUGUAGAGGUGAAGUUCGUAGAUAUUCGCAAGAACACCAGUGGCGAAGGCGGCUCACUGGCCCGGUACUGACGCUGAGGUGCGAAAGCGUGGGGAGCAAACAGG
rnacentral:rRNA from 1 species